rnacentral:lncRNA from 1 species
CGCAGCUUUGCAGUCCUGUUUCGCUUUCUCACAUUAGGGCCAUCCUUUGCCCAGCGGCUGCCUCUUCUUUCCCAGGUUGCUGACCUGCAGCCAUCCAUGUGCGUGGCUGCUUUGGGGGAGCUGUGGCCGUGGAGCUCAGGGCUCCCAACAGCUGGCCUUUCUCCAUUGUGAACCGAGCCAUCAGCUGGAAGAAAGCUCAGUGCUACCCUCCUGGAGAAAAUGCUGGCUGAAGACCCCUGCUGAAAACAGGCAGCCACCGCAGCCAGACAGCUCUUAUGCCCAUGCUGAGCUUCAUGGAGUGUGGGACCCAUCUCCAAGGGAGCGACUGCCUGGGGUCCUAUUUUCCACCCUGCAGAGCAGGAAGGAGAGUCCUGUUUCCCAGCGGAUGGGUGUGAGGAAGACACAUGUGGACACCUUGUGACUGUGUCUACAGCAUCAAGAAGAAGCUGGUGUGACGUGGGCCUCCUGGAGUGAAACUGGGAAGUCAGGCAGCCCUUGUGUUCAGCCCAUGGUUUCCUCCCCACAAUAGGAGCAUUUGUAAGACCAACAAAUUGACACAAAUCCUGUGUAGAUAAAAAAGUAGAGCACAACGCCAAGGAGGCAGGGCUCCAG